ACGAACGCUGGCGGCGUGCUUAACCCAUGCCAGUCGAACGGAAAGGCCCUGCUUUUGUGGGGUGCUCGAGUGGCGAACGGGUGAGUAACACGUGAGUAACCUGCCCUUGACUUUGGGAUAACUUCAGGAAACUGGGGCUAAUACCGGAUAGGAGCUCCUGCUGCAUGGUGGGGGUUGGAAAGUUUCGGCGGUUGGGGAUGGACUCGCGGCUUAUCAGCUUGUUGGUGGGGUAGUGGCUUACCAAGGCUUUGACGGGUAGCCGGCCUGGGAAGGUGACCGGCCACAUUGGGACUGAGGGACGGACCAGACGCCUACGGGAGGCAGCAGGGGAGAAUAUUGCACAGUGAGCGGGAGCCUGAUGCAGAAACGCCGCGUGCGGGAUGACGGCCUUCGGGGUGUAAACCGCUGUCGCCUGAGACGAAGCGUGAGUGACGGUAAUGGGUAAAGAAGCACCGGCUAACUACGUG
rnacentral:rRNA from 1 species